GAUGAACGCUAGCGGGAGGCCUAACACAUGCAAGCCGAGCGGUAUUGUUUCUUCGGAAAUGAGAGAGUGGCGUACGGGUGCGUAACACGUGUGCAACCUGCCUUUAUCUGGGGGAUAGCCUUUCGAAAGGAAGAUUAAUACUCCAUAAUAUAUUGAACGGCAUCGUUUAAUAUUGAAAGCUCCGGCGGAUAGAGAUGGGCACGCGCAAGAUUGGCUAGUUGGUGAGGUAACGGCCCACCAAGGCGAUGAUCUUUAGGGGGCCUGAGAGGGUGAUCCCCCACACUGGUACUGAGACACGGACCAGACUCCUACGGGAGGCAGCAGUGAGGAAUAUUGGUCAAUGGGUGCAAGCCUGAACCAGCCAUCCCGCGUGAAGGACGACUGCCCUAUGGGUUGUAAACUUCUUUUGUAUAGGGAUAAACCUACCCUCGAGAGGGUAGCUGAAGGUACUAUACGAAUAAGCACCGGCUAACUCCGUG
rnacentral:rRNA from 1 species